rnacentral:rRNA from 1 species
AGAGUUUGAUCAUGGCUCAGGACGAACGCUGGCGGCGUGCUUAACACAUGCAAGUCGAGCGGAAAGGCCCUUCGGGGUACUCGAGCGGCGAACGGGUGAGUAACACGUGAGUAAUCUGCCCCUAGCUCUGGGAUAGCUCCGGGAAACCGGGAUUAAUACCAGAUACGACCACUUUAGACAUCUGCUGUGGUGGAAAGAAUUUCGGCUAGGGAUGAGCUCGCGGCCUAUCAGCUUGUUGGUGGGGUAACGGCCUACCAAGGCGACGACGGGUAGCCGGCCUGAGAGGGCGACCGGCCACACUGGGACUGAGACACGGCCCAGACUCCUACGGGAGGCAGCAGUGGGGAAUAUUGCGCAAUGGGCGAAAGCCUGACGCAGCGACGCCGCGUGGGGGAUGAAGGCCUUCGGGUUGUAAACCCCUUUCAGCAGGGACGAAGCGAGAGUGACGGUACCUGCAGAAGAAGCGCCGGCUAACUACGUGCCAGCAGCCGCGGUAACACGUAGGGCGCAAGCGUUGUCCGGAAUUAUUGGGCGUAAAGAGCUCGUAGGCGGUCUGUUGCGUCCGCUGUGAAAACUCGGGGCUUAACCCCGAGCCUGCAGUGGAUACGGGCAGACUAGAGGUAGGUAGGGGAGAAUGGAAUUCCCGGUGUAGCGGUGAAAUGCGCAGAUAUCGGGAGGAACACCGGUGGCGAAGGCGGUUCUCUGGGCCUUACCUGACGCUGAGGAGCGAAAGCGUGGGGAGCGAACAGGAUUAGAUACCCCCGUAGUCC